UUUUUUUUUUUUUUUCUUUUUAAAUCUGCCACCUACCAGCCCGGGGUAAGUUGCCUCUCUCUUUAGUCUCUUUCUGCCUUCCGAGUGCAGGCGCUGGUUCCAAAUUUCACCCAUGAAGCUCCAGAGAGGGUUUCAAACCAACAAGAAGUAAGCAAGAGUAUCUUCUAGGAUGUAAGCCAGCUUGCUGCAAAUGCGUGUUUUCAGUUAAGUGCCGAAUUGUAUAACAUUAGCUCUAAGGAAGACCCUGAAACUGUGCCAGCGGAAGCCACCAUAAAUUUGGCAGUGGCUGCUAUAGACUUGAGGCAAGCAGAGCCCAGGAACUUCAAGCAAAAGAGACAAACAAGGCCCUGAGGAAUGUACACAGAAGUUGUCUGGCUCGGUGGUCCUGGUCUGUGGCAGGAAAGUUAGAGGUGAACCUUGAAAACAAAUAACAGUAGCAGUGAUCAUGAUGAUGAUGAUGGUCCAGGAAGAGUUGUUUGAAGGAAAGAGAGACCAAAUAUUUAUUCUGCAUCUGAUACUUAUCAGGUUGGAAAAAUGAAAUUUAUCUGUAAGAAAAUAGAGCAGAAUCUGAAUGAAGAAUUGAUCAAGGUAUUUUCAAUGUAUAAUAUAUAUACUUCAACCACUACAUCAGCAAAGAACGUUACGUAGUCACCUGUAUCUUUGCAAGUGGCAUUUUUUUUGGUAGUUGCUUACAGAUGGAGAAAUCCCAUAUGUUCAUGAAGGCAGACAUUUACAGAGAUGAUUCCAACCAUUGAAGAGUCGAACCGACUGGGAACACAUCUAUGGCACAUCCCCAAGCUCACAGUUCCCUUGGAAAAAGAAUGGCAAGAAAUGAUAUAAAGAUUUUGAAGGGGUUUGUGGUAUUCCACUCCAGUUUUCCGAGGAAGAAGAUGAUACGUAUGGGUUUGUGUUUCCUUCAUGAGAAUUUGAAUACAGGAUAUAUUAAUUAAACAUAUAUCUUCAUUUUCCUGAUGGAGAAACUUGAGUCAGCAGUGAUUAAAUUACCCAGCUAUUUGGUUGCAGAGCUAAGACUACCCAUGGUUUUUACUCCUGUUCUACAUUCUUUUUUAUUACAAUUAUUAAUGGAAGAGUUUUGGGUUUUCAUAGAAGACCAAAGCAAGAGAAAGUUUAAAUUGUCAAGAAAGUUUAGAUAGAUAAAGGAAGCUUAUUUAAGUGUAAAGGAACUAAAUACUAUUAUCUUCUUUAUUUUAAGAUGUAUAUAUAUGUAUAUGUAUAUGUGUGUAUGUGUGUGUGUGUGUGUGUGUGUGUGUGUGUGUGUAUACACGCUAAUAUUCUGAAAUCAGCCUGACCCUUAGAAACAAUGUUAAGUCAUAGUUGCUUCCAGGAAGUAUGUCAAGUUGUGAGAUGAUCCUCUUUACUUGGAAGUAUUUAGCCACUGACAUUCUCAUGUAAUAGAUUAUGGAAUUGACAAAACUACUUAGUUUUUUGUUGGCUUACUUUGCGAAAGAAACUAUUUACCAUCCAGCAGUAUGUAAUUCCAUUAAGAAAUAAAAAACAGAAUUUGAAAUGCAAAUCACUGGUAUUAUUUCAUCUGACUUGAAGUGUAAACCAGGUAAAGCUGUUAAGAAGGGAUUAGGCAGUCUCACCACCUCUGCUAGUCUCACAGUUGUCUGUCGGGGCCAAACUUAAUUCUGAAGAAUUUUUAGACUGGGUGUGAAAAGGGUAGACCCAAAUCUUGUAAAUCCCAAAAGGAAAUGGUAUGCAACUGUAGGGAUAGGUACGUGUCAUAAUGGUGUUAGUAUACUUUAUAAUUUGCGUACAUAAAAUGUAGUGGGUUUUUUCCCCCCUGACGCAUGUUAUUAAAUCAACUGAUGAGCUGACAAUCAUGGGAUCUAAGAAUACGAGUAAUUUGAAAAGAAAAGAAAAAAAAAAACGAUUAAGAGUAAUUUGGUUUAGAAUGGUAGUGUCAUGUAUUAGGAUGAACGCUGUCCUCGGGCGCCUGGGUGGCUCAGUUGAGUGGCUCUGGAUUUCAGCUCAGGUCAUGAUCCCAGGGGCGUGGGAUCGAGCCCCAUGUUAGGUUCUACACUGAGUGUGGAGCCUGCUUGAGAUUCUCUCUCUCUCUCUCUCUCUCUCUCUCUCUCCCCCCCCCCCGCCCCUCGACCGCCUUGCUCUCUCUCUCUCACUAAAAUAAAAAAAAUAAUAAUAAUAAAAUUUAAAAAACAGAAUAAACACUGUACUGGAAGCUAGGUCUGGAAAACCACUUAGCCUCCUACCAGCUGUAUUGCCCUUGAACAAUUUUACUUCUUCUUUAAAUAACAGUUUCCUUAUCUAAAAUUGGAAUAAUGACAUGACAUACCUUGUAGGAACACUGUGAGGAUUAAAUAAGAUUACAUAUGCAAAGUGCCCCCCACAAUGCCUGUCACAUAGUGGGCGCUCAGCAAAGUCAGCUCGGUCACAGGCAACUUGAGUUAACAAAAUGAUUUGUUAAGUGGUGCUGGCAGCAGGGUGAAUUUCUCUGAUUUGGUAGAAUCGUGUCGUCUAAACAGCGUUUCUCACCAGUUUAAAAUCCAUGCUCUAUCAGUCAAGAAGAUUUUUUAAAAAGUCUUACUGAAAUAACAUGUAUUUAAACAUUUUUCCAAAUAUAUAUAUGAAUGUUUUUUCAAGUUACUGCCCUAUACCUUCUUCCUAUUCUGCUCUGCCUCUUACACGGGUGGCCCUAGCUAGCUGAAAAUCUUUGCCCUAAAAAACAUGGUGGCAGACAGGGAUCUAAGAAACAUUUAGAUUUUUAUUUUCAGUUCAUACUAGGAACAUAGCAGUUCAAUCACUUUUCACAGACUGGCCCCAUCAUGCAUAUGUUUGCUAAACACACUGGAUAAAGGGAAGAAAUAUGGAACUAGCCAUCAUUUUGCAUCCAGGAUCUUCCUUCAAAGAGUUAUCCAAAAUAAAUAUAAUGGGGCAAUAUUUACAAGGAGACCUAAAGAUAUUUAUAUACAAUUUAAGUGCUAUGUGUUUGUCAGUGUGGAGAUAUGGUCAUGAAGCAAAGGGCGGGGGGAAUGGUGGGUUACCAGAAAUUAAAAAACAAACAAACAAACAAACAAACAAACAAGCUCUGUGGUCAAGCUAAAGAAACCACAAGGCCAACUUUUCUGUCGAUCCCUGGGGAGACACACAGAGAAAAGGGUUCAGUAGCCCUGAUCACAUUUCCUCCACUCUAGCAUCCUAUCCCCUACAAGUGUUCAUAAAAUACCAUACCCUGGAGUUGGCUGUCCUCUGACAACAUUUUUUUGUGGUUUUCUGCCAGUUUGACUUUUGCUCAAGCCUAAAUCUCACUCCCCACCCAGCUUUCAAGAAUAGACCCACAGGAUUCUUUAACACUAUUAACUUUUCAAAAGCCACUCGCCUAUUUGCAUAUCUCCUUCAAGGCACACCAAGGCCAACCUUGCGUUGCCACAGGCUCCUUUGGAGCCACAGUCCCUCGUCUGCUCUGUUCAGCAACCCAAAAUGUCAUCAAGGAGCCUUUCCACUGUAGAGGGAAGGGGAAGGAUUUCAGGGUGGAGCACGAUGAUGAUGCCAUGGGAAAAUUCCAAGAAUCCUGUGACCUACUGUCCUCACCCAUGUCAUGUCCUGCCUCACUAAUCUUUCAGAUUAGUUCAGCCUAAUGAAAGCCAACAACAUAUAAAGCUAGUAAUAGUACUCAUUCGUCUUGCAUCUGCUUUAGUUCACUCUUCAUGUGUUGGUUUAGCCAAGCAGAAUUCUCAAAAAGCAUCACCAACUGGCUCCUGGGGCGGGCUGUGACACCUUGAAUGCUCAUCUGGCGGCUGAUGAGGAUCCAGGUACUAAAAAGCCAUUAUUUGUUCCUAGAUCGCAAGGAAGGUGUUGGUUGAUAUUCUCUUUCCCAAGGACCAUGGAUUCGGUUCCCCUACACAGUAGACCCCAAUUUCUCUUAGUUUUUCUUUUAUUAUGUUCAUAAAUAUCAAAAUACUAUGGGAAUUCACCGCAGCAGCUCCUAGAGUAUUUUCAUUUCGUUAUUUAGCAUCCCUCAGAAAUUUAAGUUCUCCAGUGAAGGGGAAAAGUUCUUUACUUCAGGUGUCUCAAAAUUUUUCAAAAAUAUAUGGUAAUCUUAUUUAUUAGAAAACAAACUAAAACUGUUUACCAAUAGUACACUACUUGAUAGAGAAAUGUCCUUAUCUUUCUUUUUUCUAAUUUAAAUGAUAAGCAUUGCUGCCAAGAAAAAACAGAAUCAUUUCUCUCCUAGCUGGAUAAAAAUAGGUCAAGUAAUUUAAGCCAGUCCAUUGCAAUUAAAAUUCUGACAUUGCCAUUGUUUCUUCUAUUCUGGGGGGAAAAGACAAACAGAACACAAGAUGAUAGGGGUUCAUUGGCUAAGUCACUUGAUGUGCUAUCCAUUGUUUUAACCUUGCUUUAACCUUUAACCUUUAACCUUUAACCUUGUCUUGCUUUAACCUGCCUGGCAGCUGUGAUUCUGAUGACAGUGGUACAGUACCAAAAUGAUAAAUACCAUCUCUGAAGCUGCGUAACACCUCUUUUGUGCUAGCAAAACAAUACGGUUGGAGAGGAGAACAUUUCCAAUGGCUUGAGUCCUGAAUUCCUUGAAUUCUAAAUGUAUUUCUUUCUUUGGAGACAAUGUUAUCUGCCAAGCUUAUUUUAAAGUAAAUUUUACUGAAUCAAUUAGACAGCAACACUCAUUCCCAUUAAACAUCCUGUGGCCCUUUCACAAGAUUAGAGCCUGUGGCUUGGUCGCAUUCCAACACAGAUAACCGCAUUCUGCAUUCCUAGAUAUUUCCCUCCACCUUUCCGAACACUUACCAUCAAAUGCAUUAUUAUUUGUACUUGUCCCAAAACAACAGUUCUGUUGUGAGAGUGCAGAGUAUCAGUUUUAACUGACAGGCUAAAGCAUUUGCUCAUUAUACUUUUAUAAAAGAAAACCCCUUAGCCAAUGCAUAUUUUGAAAUGUGAGGCACAUCUCAAUUAUGUACGCUUAUCCCAAGUUAAGUUCUUUGGUAAGGAAAAUACUCUUAUUUUCAUAAAGGGUGUUUACUUUGAAAUCUCUUUUAAUAAAAAAAAAAUUUGUUGCUCAAAUAUAUGCUGUUUGCUUCAAGAAAGAAAAUGAAGCAUUCAGAAAAGGUAAACAAACAAACCACCACCAACAAAAAAAAACCCCUCUUAAGGAAAUGGCUUUCCUUUGACCUUCUAAAUAAAUUCCACAAGGGGGCGAAAACACCUAAUGGUCUGGGACUGCAAAGUUUGUAUUUCAAAGCCGGCCACCCAUAAUAGAUUAGUGGAUUAAUAUUUUGCUCUAAAGGAUCUGGCCUUUAAUGUUGACAUCAAUUUAUAGCUAGCCCAGGCGUUUACAGUAGUAAAAGUCACGGAGACCAUAAACUUCACAAUAGAUGUCAGCCUUCUGGUACCAGUGCUCUAGCCUAGCACCCCAUAAACAGUGGUGAUUAGGUAACUGUCCUUCAAAGACCCAUCCAUAGAUGUAACGUCUUUAUCAGCUCCCGCAAAAAUACCGCCACCAGGAUGUGAGCAGGCACAAGGCAGAGGUGCAAGUUUUCAUCAACGUGUUCUUAUUUUUCUGACUUGUUUCUAUGAUGUUCUUGCUUAUCAUUGAUCUCAUCUUGAAAAAUCAAGCGUGGAGUAUCUAUUUGUGGGCAAAGCUUAAAGAACAGAAGCUCUCUUGUACCAUGUUAGAACUUUUUGAAAAACAGCCAAGGUACGGAGGUCAAAUUUCCCCAUAUGCUAUAAGCAACUUAGUAGGAAGCAAGACCACAAAAGGUUUUGCAAAUGUCCGCCAGUAGCCCGGUGAUCUAGGUCACUGUACAGGUUUCAUGAAUCAGGUUGUUCAAACAAGGAGUUAUUUUUCCUGUGCUUAAGAGACCUGCAGAUAUCGCAUGGAAUCUGCUCAAUUGUUGAUCGAGAAAGAGUUUUAAUGAAAUAGAGAUCAUUCAGAUGAA